rnacentral:rRNA from 1 species
UACAGAGGGGGCAAGCGUUGCUCGGAAUUACUGGGCGUAAAGGGCGCGUAGGCGGCCUGCUAAGUCGAACGUGAAAUCCCCGGGCUCAACCCGGGAACUGCGUCCGAUACUGGAAGGCUUGAAUCCGGGAGAGGGAUGCGGAAUUCCAGGUGUAGCGGUGAAAUGCGUAGAGAUCGGGAGGAACACCGGUGGCGAAGGCGGGUCUCUGGGCAGUAACUGACGCUGAGGAGCGAAAGCGUGGGGAGCGAACAGG